rnacentral:miRNA from 1 species
UUUUUCCUAUAAGUAUGUACUGUGCAAUAUUUGGGACAUACUUAUAUUUAAA